CUACGGGGCGCUGCAGUGAGGAAUAUUGCACAAUGGGGGGAACCUUGAUGCAGCAACGCCGCGUGGAGGAUGACGCAUUUCGGUGUGUAAACUCCUCUUAUAUGUCAAGAAAAUGACGGUAGCAUAUGAAUAAGCACCGGCUAACUCCGUGCCAGCAGCCGCGGUAAUACGGAGGGUGCAAGCGUUACUCGGAAUCACUGGGCGUAAAGGACGCGUAGGCGGGUUGGAAAGUCAGGUGUGAAAUCCUACAGCUUAACUGUAGAACUGCACUUGAAACUUCUAAUCUAGAGUAUGGGAGGGGGAGAUGGAAUUAGUGGUGUAGGGGUAAAAUCCGUAGAUAUCACUAGGAAUACCUAAAGCGAAGGCGAUCUCCUGGAACAUUACUGACGCUAAGGCGUGAAAGCGUGGGGAGCAAACAGGAUUAGAUACCCGCGUAGUC
rnacentral:rRNA from 1 species